rnacentral:lncRNA from 1 species
GUUUUUUCUUUUUGAUACCGGGUCUCACACUGUCACCCAGGCUGGAGUACAGUGGCACAACCUCUGCUCACUGCAGCCUCCACCUGCCAGGCUCAAGCAAUUCUCCUGCCUCAGCCUCCCGAGUAGCUGGGAUUAUAGGUAAGUGCCACCACACCCAGCUGAUUUUUGUGUUUUUUGUAGAGACGAGGUUUUGCCAUGUUUCCCAGACUGUUCUCAAACUCCUGAGCUCAAAGCAGUCCACCCAUCUUGGCCUCCCAGAGUGCUGGGAUUACAGGUGUGAGCCACCUUGCUCAUUCUAGUUUAAACUGUUGAGUGGUUUGUGUCUCCUGAUUGGACUCCUACAAAUACAGAAUUGAUGCUAGGAAGGGUACCAGGAGAUAGACGCACACAGAUGGGAUUUGGGAAUAGGUUUGGUUAUCCAAGGAGCAGUGCUGAGCUCCUUGCUAAUGGGUUAUGGAAUGCUGGUGAUUUCCAGGAAGUGACCUCACAAUGACUCAAGCUACCACAUAGUGUUGAUUGUGAAAUGCCAGUUGAAGCAUAUGUCCUGCGAGCUUAGGGGUGCUACAGGUUGACCACUGCAGCAGUAAAGAUGACUCUGAAGAAUGGCAUGGGAUGGAUCCUUUCGAAUGCCCUUGAGCAGCGGUCUCCAACCACAGGGCCACAGAGCUGGAGGUGAGCAGCAGCUGGAUCUACCAUGAAAGACUUCUGAAUCCAGGAAGA